AACGAACGCUGGCGGCAUGCCUAACACAUGCAAGUCGAACGAGACCUUCGGGUCUAGUGGCGCACGGGUGCGUAACGCGUGGGAACCUGCCCUUAGGUUCGGAAUAACUCCCCGAAUGGGGUGCUAAUACCGGAUAAUGUCUUCGGACCAAAGAUUUAUCGCCUUUGGAUGGGCCCGCGUUGGAUUAGCUAGUUGGUAGGGUAAAAGCCUACCAAGGCGACGAUCCAUAGCUGGUCUGAGAGGAUGAUCAGCCACACUGGGACUGAGACACGGCCCAGACUCCUACGGGAGGCAGCAGUGGGGAAUAUUGGACAAUGGGCGAAAGCAUGAUCCAGCAAUGCCGCGUGAGUGAUGAAGGCCUUAGGGUUGUAAAGCUCUUUUACCCGGGAUGAUAAUGACAGUACCGGGAGAAUAAGCUCCGGCUAACUCCGUG
rnacentral:rRNA from 1 species